ACGAACGCUGGCGGCGUGCUUAACACAUGCAAGUCGAACGGAAAGGCCCUGCUUUUGUGGGGUGCUCGAGUGGCGAACGGGUGAGUAACACGUGAGUAACCUGCCCUUGACUUUGGGAUAACUUCAGGAAACUGGGGCUAAUACCGGAUAGGAGCUCCUGCUGCAUGGUGGGGGUUGGAAAGUUUCGGCGGUUGGGGAUGGACUCGCGGCUUAUCAGCUUGUUGGUGGGGUAGUGGCUUACCAAGGCUUUGACGGGUAGCCGGCCUGAGAGGGUGACCGGGGAGAUUGGGACUGAGAUACGGCCCAGACUCCUACGGGAGGCAGCAGUGGGGAAUAUUGCACAAUGGGCGGAAGCCUGAUGCAGCAACGCCGCGUGCGGGAUGACGGCCUUCGGGUUGUAAACCGCUUUCGCCUGUGACGAAGCGUGAGUGACGGUAAUGGGUAAAGAAGCACCGGCUAACUACGUG
rnacentral:rRNA from 1 species